AUUGAACGCUGGCGGCAGGCUUAACACAUGCAAGUCGAGGGGCCCGUAAGGGCACCGGCGCACGGGUGAGUAACACGUGGGAACAUACCCUUAGGUGCGGAACAACGUUGGGAAGAUAGCGCUAAUACCGCAUAAUAUCUCUGGAUCAAAGAUUUAUCGCCUAAGGAUUGGCCCGCGUUAGAUUAGGUAGUUGGUAGGGUAAUGGCCUACCAAGCCGACGAUCUAUAGCUGGUCUGAGGGGAUGAUCAGCCACACUGGGACUGAGACACGGCCCAGACUCCUACGGGAGGCAGCAGUGAGGAAUAUUGGACAAUGGGCGCAAGCCUGAUCCAGCCAUGCCGCGUGAGUGACGAAGGCCUUAGGGUUGUAAAGCUCUUUCAGGUGCGAAGAUAAUGACAGUAACACCAGAAGAAGCCCCGGCUAAAUACGUGCCAGCCGCCGCCGUAA
rnacentral:rRNA from 1 species